rnacentral:lncRNA from 1 species
UUUCCUCUUGUUGCCCAGGCUGGAGUGCAAUGGCGCAAUCUCCGCUCACUGCAACCUCCGCCUCCCGGGUUCAAGCAAUUCUCCUGCUUCAGCCUCCUGAGUAGCUGGUAUUACAAGCAUAGGCCACCAUGCCCGGCUAAUUUUUUUGUAUUUUUAGUAGAGACGGGGUUUCUCCAUGUUGGUCAGGCUGGUCUUGAACUCCCAACCUCAGGUGAUCCGCCCGCC